UCACGGUUCUCGUUCGAUCACCGAAGUUAAGCAUCGUAGAGCCAGGUCAGUACUUAGAUGGGGACCGCUUGGGAACACCUGGUACUGUAAGC
rnacentral:rRNA from 1 species